rnacentral:lncRNA from 1 species
GUCUUUAUCUCUUCAGUUUAUUUAUUUAUUUGAGAGCUGAUAUUCAAUUAAAACAAAGAAGUGUAAAAUAUUACAUCCCCAAUGGGGCAGAUUCGAUUUAGACUUCAAAUAAAAAUCCUAGUAUUAUUAUAGCCCAGAGUUUUAUAUCAACGAAACCAGUUGCCCAUGUUAGUAUCCCAUUGGAUAGAAUCACCAAGAGGCCCAUCAAAACCCAAUCAAGUAAAGGAAAAGUUAAUUAUGGAAAAUACAUGUAGACUUUGGUUUUGUCGAAGAUUGACGAAGAUCCGAGAGAUGGAGUGCACGAAAGAAAUCAUCUGCUAAAUUGGCAAACCAGGAAGCAUCAGGAGGUAAAGUACCAAACUUGCAUCAACUAAGAGGAGAGAUUAUGAUUAGAAUCCCGAAGACCUGAGAUUUUAUUCCUGAUAGUAGAGUCUAUCAAUCGCAAGACAUGAGAGAAUUAAGAACAAAGUCUCGAAAUAUUCCUCGAUUAGAUCGGAGACUGGUUAUCUGGUGGGAAUAAAUCACUGGAAAACAGACUCUAGCUGAUUAUCAAGCAAAUCUACAGCAACAUUUGUUUCAUAAUCAAGCAGCUAUCAACACAGAAUAAUCUGUUGCCGACAAUCGAAAAAAGACUGUAGAAAUCUACGGAAUGAUUUAGAAGGAAAAAGUGAUGAUCUUCACUGAAUUGAACUCACUUAUUUAUAGGUGUAAAUCCACAACAAUUUGAGAUAGGAGAUGUAUGGAAUGAGAGGUCUUGGAUGAGUGGGUCGGUGAUAUUAAUGAAAACAUUUAUUGUAUUUAAUAAAUCUAACAGAGAAUAGUAACGCCGCAGUUUUUUCUUCUCAGCGGGAGGAAGAAGAAACAUGUCAUAACCUAAGUCAAAUAAUGUUUUUCGUACAUACUAACUUUAAAAAUAAUAGUCUUGUUGUAUGGCACAUCCUAAGUCAAACUUCUUGGAAUCACUGGAAAACAGACUCUAGCUGAUUAUCAAGCAAAUCUACAUCAAUAUUUGUUUCAUAAUCAAGCAGCUAUCAACACAGAAUAAUCUGUUACCGACAAUCGAAAAAAGAUUGUAGAAAUCUACGGAAUGAUUUAGAAGGAAAAAGUGAUGAUCUUCACUGAAUUGAACUCACUUAUUUAUAGGUGUAAAUCCACAACAAUUUGAGAUAGGAGAUGUAUGGAAUGAGAGGUCUUGGAUGAGUGGGUCGGUGAUAUUAAUGAAAACAUUUAUUGUAUUUAAUAAAUCUAACAGAGAAUAGUAACGCCGCAGUUUUUUCUUCUCAGCGGGAGGAAG